GGCUGGUUGGCCUAAUGGUAAGGCGUUGCUUUCCGGUCUUCGGACAUGGCAAAGAUUGCGGGUUCGAGUCCCGUGCUGGUCG